rnacentral:rRNA from 1 species
AGCGAACAUUGGCGGUAGGCUUAACGCAUGCAAGUCGAGCGAGGCGUAAUAGUCGAGCGGCGAACGGGUGAGUAACACAUGGGAAUCUGCCUCAUAGUUCGGAAUAACACCGGGAAACUGGUGCUAAUACCGGAUACGCCCUUCGGGGGAAAGUUUUUCGCUAUGAGAUGAGCCCGCGUUGGAUUAGCUAGUUGGUGAGGUAAUGGCUCACCAAGGCGACGAUCCAUAGCUGAUCUUAGAGGAUGAUCAGCCACACUGGGACUGAGACACGGCCCAGACUCCUACGGGAGGCAGCAGUGGGGAAUCUUGCGCAAUGGGGGCAACCCUGACGCAGCCAUACCGCGUGUGUGAUGAAGGUCUUCGGAUUGUAAAGCACUUUCAGUAGGGACGACGAUGACGGUACCUACAGAAGAAGUCACGGCUAACUUCGUGCCAGCAGCCGCGGUAA